CGGUGGGACGUUGAGCCCUGUGCUGGUCACUCGUAGGCGAGGCACCCCAGGGUGGGGCUGGCUCCCAAGACAGGGUUCAGAGCCUGGGUGCAGUUUUGUAAAGUUUUUCUUCUCCACCCCCGCGCCCUGUGUUUAAUCUACCCCCCCCCGUUUUUGAUGCCAAAGUAAGCCUAUCCAGGAUCCCGAACAUGCCAAGGGAUCGAUACACCCCCAUUUCACUUGCAGAACUUAAUGUAUGGGGUGGAGUGUAUUUUUAAAAGGCUAAAAUACUGUAACUUUGAAGAGCUCAGUGGCUAGGAGCGAAUGCUGUUGUUGCAGAGGAUCCAGGUUCAGUUCCACCUCCCCCAUCAGGCUGCCCCCAGCUGCGUUUAACUCCAGCUCCAGAAGAUCGGUGCUGACUUCUGGUCCCUGUGGGCAUCAGCAUGCAGGGGCCCACAGCACAUAAUCACAGGCUGCCCAAUCAGGGAGUCUCAGCCUCCCCAGGACUCCUGCUUCCGACCUGGUCUCACACUAGCUCCGUUUUUUAAAUGAUUUUUAAUUUUUGAGCUAAAAUAAAAAAAUGUUUCCCAUUGUUUUUAUCA